rnacentral:rRNA from 1 species
GGCCUACGGGAGGCAGCAGUGGGGAAUAUUGCACAAUGGGGGAAACCCUGAUGCAGCGACGCCGCGUGAGUGAGGAAGUAUUUCGGUAUGUAAAGCUCUAUCAGCAGGGAAGAAAAUGACGGUACCUGACUAAGAAGCCCCGGCUAACUACGUGCCAGCAGCCGCGGUAAUACGUAGGGAGCGAGCGUUGUCCGGAUUUACUGGGUGUAAAGGGUGCGCAGGCGGCUCUGCAAGUCAGGCGUGAAAGCUAGGGGCUCAACCCCUAAACUGCGCUUGAAACUGUGGAGCUUGAGUGAAGUAGAGGC